rnacentral:rRNA from 1 species
ACAUCCAGAGAAUUUAGCAGAGAUGCUUUAGUGCCUUCGGGAACUCUGAGACAGGUGCUGCAUGGCUGUCGUCAGCUCGUGUUGUGAAAUGUGGGUUAAGCCCGNAACGAGCGCAACCCUUAUCCUUUGUUGCCAGCACGUAAUGGUGGGAACUCAAAGGAGACUGCCGGUGAUAAACCGGAGGAAGGUGGGGAUGACGUCAAGUCAUCAUGGCCCUUACGAGUAGGGCUACACACGUGCUACAAUGGCGCAUACAAAGAGAAGCGACCUCGCGAGAGCAAGCGGACCUCAUAAAGUGCGUCGUAGUCCGGAUUGGAGUCUGCAACUCGACUCCAUGAAGUCGGAAUCGCUAGUAAUCGUAAAUCAGAAUGUUACGGUGAAUACGUUCCCGGGCCUUGUACACACCGCCCGUCACACCAUGGGAGUGGGUUGCAAAAGAAGUAGAUAGCUUAACCUUCGGGAGGGCGUUUACCACUUUGUGAUUCAUGACUGGGGUGAAGUCGUAACAAGGUAGGCGUAGUGCU